CUGAGCAUAUACUUCCAUACGUUUCCUCCUUUGUAGUUUUCAAUACACGUGCUUACGGAGAAGAGAGAAAGCUGUGAUGUGGCAGAUGCGCAAGCCGGGUCGCUCUCCCACGCUGAGAAGACAGGCGUGGAUGCUGCUGCCCUUUGUUGCGAUGGUGGGCCUCCUCUCGCAGCGCGGCCAACACCAGCCGCGACUCCCCCCCGACCUGCGUCCCCCCGCCGCCCCCCCUCCGCCCGGCCUCCUCGUCAGCGACCCUGGCCCCUUGGCCCUGGCACCGAGCCUCAGCCAGGACCCGCGCCGGC